rnacentral:rRNA from 1 species
AUGGGAACGCGAAGAACCUUACCUAGACUUGACAUCUUCUGCAUUAAUCGUAAUGGAUGAAAUCCCUUCGGGGACAGAAUGACAGGUGGUGCAUGGUUGUCGUCAGCUCGUGUCGUGAGAUGUUGGGUUAAGUCCCGCAACGAGCGCAACCCCUAUUAUUAGUUGCUAACAUUAAGUUGAGCACUCUAGUGAGACUGCCCGGGGUUAACCGGGAGGAAGGUGGGGAUGACGUCAAAUCAUCAUGCCCCUUAUGUCUAGGGCUACACACGUGCUACAAUGGUGGGAACAAAGAGAUGCAAGACCGCGAGGUGGAGCUAAACUCAAAACCCCAUCCCAGUUCGGAUUGUAGGCUGAAACUCGCCUACAUGAAGCUGGAGUUGCUAGUAAUCGCGAAUCAGAAUGUCGCGGUGAAUACGUUCCCGGGUCUUGUACACACCG